CAUUCUGUGUGAGGAGUUUGGGGAGACACAUCCUUGGUGAAUGCUGUGAUUCAGUGCCUCGUCACUCCACGCCAAAGCCCAGCACGGCCCAGCUCGGCCUUCCUAAACACGCAUGAUCAUAAAGAUCCGAGGAGCAGUCAACAAAAACUUGGAACCUGUUCAACAUUGUUUAUGCAUCUUUCAUUGUGGGCCAGACCCUGCACUAGGUGUUGUCCAAAGUGAUCCCCUCUACCACCCAAACCUCUGUGGGGCCUGAGAAAGGGCGUGUGGAGGAGACAAGAUGAACACAAGCUGAGAGACAAUGCCGCAGCUGCUGCUAAUACCGUCGAGAGUGGAGACUCACACUGACUGGGCACCUUCUAUCUGUUAUCUUGUUUGCUCCUAGUGACAAAGUUUGAGAGCUUUAUGAAGGUCUUGAAGAAUACCCGAAAUAUGUCUGGGGAGCAUAGAAGCGUAAGAAAGAAGUCAGACAAGAAUAGGCCACAAUACGGUGUCUGCAAACAAGGCGAAGCCAAACCCGGAUGAAGGUGGGAGCUUGGCAUUCUUCAGAGGUGCUCCUCAGACUGCCUUCAGGGAGUGCUGGGCGCAGGAACCUUCACGCUUAGGACCCUCUCUCCCAUCACAUGCAUUUCUCAAGUUCAUACUCAGAGCCUGGAAGAUCUGAUUCAAAUCUGGUUCUGAGUUAACUGUGUGCUUUUGGACAAAUGAUCUAGGGCUUCUGAGCCUAAGUAUCCUUAUCUUCAAAAGAGGGUAAUAAAAUCCGCCUCCUUAUAUUGUUUUGAGGAAUAAAUGAGAAGACAAAUGCAGAAUACUUAGUGCUGUGGCCUGAAUGUUUGUGUCCCCGUGCAACUCAUAUGUUGAAACCCUGACCCCCAAGGUGAGAGCAGGUGAGGCCCUGGGAGGUGAAUAGGUCAUGAGGGUGGAGCCCUCAGGGAUGGGAUCAGUGCCCUUAUGGAAGAGGCCCCAGGGAGUGUCUCGCCCCUUCCCUGCCUCCCAAACUGUAAGAAAUAAAUUUCUGUGG